rnacentral:rRNA from 1 species
ACGAACGCUGGCGGCGUGCUUCACACAUGCAAGUCGCACGGAAAGGCCCUGCUUUUGUGGGGUGCUCGAGUGGCGAACGGGUGAGUAACACGUGAGUAACCUGCCCUUGACUUUGGGAUAACUUCAGGAAACUGGGGCUAAUACCGGAUAGGAGCUCCUGCUGCAUGGUGGGGGUUGGAAAGCUUCGGCGGUUGGGGAUGGACUCGCGGCUUAUCAGCUUGUUGGUGGGGUAGUGGCUUACCAAGGCUUUGACGGGUAGCCGGCCUGAGAGGGUGACCGGCCACAUUGGGACUGAGAUACGGCCCAGACUCCUACGGGAGGCAGCAGUGGGGAAUAUUGCACAAUGGGCGGAAGCCUGAUGCAGCAACGCCGCGUGCGGGAUGACGGCCUUCGGGUUGUAAACCGCUUUCGCCUGUGACGAAGCGUGAGUGACGGUAAUGGGUAAAGAAGCACCGGCUAACUACGUG